CAGUAGCCGCGGUAAUACAGAGGGUGCAAGCGUUAAUCGGAAUUACUGGGCGUAAAGCGCGCGUAGGUGGUUUGUUAAGUUGAAUGUGAAAUCCCCGGGCUCAACCUGGGAACUUCAUCCAAAACUGGCAAGCUAGAGUAGGGCAGAGGGUGGUGGAAUUUCCUGUGUAGCGGUGAAAUGCGUAGAUAUAGGAAGGAACACCAGUGGCGAAGGCGACCACCUGGGCUCAUACUGACACUGAGGUGCGAAAGCGUGGGGAGCAAACAGGAUUAGAUACCCCAGUAGUCCCUGUCUCUUAUAC
rnacentral:rRNA from 1 species